GUGGUAGCUGAGUUUGUAAAGCGCUUAUAGUUAUUUACUCGGUACAGAAUAUCGAUGGUUCGAAUCCAUCCCGGAACA
rnacentral:tRNA from 1 species